rnacentral:lncRNA from 1 species
UCACGGUAAGGUCCACAGCUGUUGUAUUCAGCAUUUCACGGUAAGGUCCACAGCUGUUGUAUUAAGCAUUUCACGGUAAGGUCCACAGCUGUUGUAUUCAACAUUUCACGGUAAGGUCCACAGCUGUUGUAUUCAACAUUUCACGGUAAGGUCCACAGCUGUUGUAUUCGUCGCAUGUGACUAAUAACAUUUUAUUUGAUCUCUGCUCUCUCUGAGCUCUAGGCUGAAGCCAAAACAGAGCAAGACAGAUAUCUGCUCUCUCUGAGCUCUAGGUUAAAGUCAAUACAGAGGAAUACAAAUAUCUGCUCUCUCUGAGCUCUAGGCUAAACCCAAUACAGAGGAAGACAGAUCUCUGCUCUCUCUGAGCUCUAGGCUAACCCCAAUACAGAGGAAGACAGAUCUCUGCUCUCUCUGAGCUAUAGGCUAAACCCA